GCCCGGGUGGUGGAAUUGGUAGACGCAGCGGACUCAAAAUCCGCCGCCGCAAGGCGUGCCGGUUCGAUUCCGGCCUCGGGCACCA
rnacentral:tRNA from 5 species